AAUGAACGUUGGCGGCAUGGAUUAGGCAUGCAAGUCGAGCGAGAAGCUUUAGUUUGACGCUUCGGUUGAUUUCUAAAGUGGACAGCGGCGGAUGGGAGAGUAACGCGUAGUUAUCUGCCUCGAGGUCCGGGAUAGCCACGGGAAACUGUGGGUAAUACCGGAUAAUAUCUCCGGAUCAAAGGUGUGAUUCCACCUCGAGAGGAGACUGCGUACUACUAGCUUGUUGGUGGGUAACGGCCUACCAAGGCAACGAUGGUUAGCGGGCGUGAGAGCGUGGCCCGUCUCACUGGGACUGAAACACUGCCCAGACACCUACGGGUGGCUGCAGUCGAGAAUCUUCGGCAAUGGGCGAAAGCCUGACCGAGCGAUGCCGCGUGCGGGAUGAAGGCCCUCGGGUUGUAAACCGCUGUCAGUUGGGAGGAAGGGUCCGUGAAGAGCGGACUUUGACCUAUCUUCAGAGGAAGUCCGGGCUAAGUUCGUG
rnacentral:rRNA from 1 species